rnacentral:rRNA from 1 species
UUAUAUUGUUCCUCGUUUUGGAUUAAGUUCCAAGUUGAGAACAAUAAGAUUUAGUGGCGGACGGGUGAGUAACACGUUGGUACCUACCCUCUAGUGGGGAAUAACUUCGAGAAAUCGAGGCUAAUACCGCAUAAUAUCUACGGAUUAAAGCUUUUAUGCGCUAGAGGAGGGGCCUGCGUCUGAUUAGCUUGUUGGUGAGGUAAAAGCUCACCAAGGCGACGAUCAGUAGCUGGAUCGAGAGGUUGACCAGCCACACUGGGACUGAGAUACGGCCCAGACUCCUACGGGAGGCAGCAGUAAGGAAUCUUCCACAAUGGGCGAAAGCCUGAUGGAGCAAUGCCGCGUGCAGGAUGACGGCCUUCGGGUUGUAAACUGCUUUAUAUGGGAAGAUUAUGACGGUACCAUAUGAAUAAGGACCGGCUAACUACGUG